GGGCAGUUAGCUCAGCGGCUAGAGCGCUUGGUUUACAUCCAAGAAGUCACAGGUUCAAAUCCUGUACUGCCCACCA
rnacentral:tRNA from 1 species